rnacentral:lncRNA from 1 species
GGGCUACCUGGAACUGGCUUAGGGUGGGAUUACAUACGCCUCCUGCCACAUAGGAUUUCCUUCUAUUUGGUCAGGGGUAGCAUCAUCCAGUGAGUAAAUCUGUUAGUGAUCUCCCUCACAUAACCUAGGAAUUCUCUCAGGAUCCGUUUCUCCAGUAGUUUUGAGAAAGCGACCAACAACAGCAAAGAGAGUAGUUCUUCCAUUCCAAGAGCAGCCAUCUUGCUUAACUGACAAACUAGAGAGAACUGCAAGGACUCAGUACAUCCCUGGCACAAUCCAUUCUCUCUCACAGCAUAUUAUAUGAGGCUGUGUGAGCCCUGCUUCCACGGUAUGCUAAAAACCCAUGGUCCCUGCAUUAUUUGAGCAACUGACAAGCUUCUGAAGUUAAGAUUCACGAACGCUGAGAGCGGUACCCAGUGGAUUUGUGGCAGAUUGUUGAUUAACCAAGCUGGCUGGCGUUGCCUCAGUUCAUCUAAAUUACCAAGGACUGCUGGAAUUUUCAUGGGAAUAUGUUUCGGGAAAGGAAUGAAGUUUGCUUUUAUCUGCAAAUGUUGCUAAGAAAGAAUCCAUCGUUCAAUGUGCUGUGGUCCACUCUGCACUUCAGGAUCUCAGGCUUUACCCAGAACCUGGAGCAAGACCACUUCAACUCUUGCAAGAAAUUCACAGCUAUAGAAUAAACAGUGGCUGGAGGAUGAUACACCAAAGAAGGAAAGAAACAAGUGAAUUCAAAUCAAAGAAUUCACAUCAGCUUUUUUGAAAGCGGAAAACCAAAAAUGUCAAUUGCAAGCCUCAACCCCCUUCUUCUUCCCCAAACUGUUUUUCUUUUUGGUUUAUUUCUGCAUCAGAGUCUACCUAGGUUUCAAAACCAAUUUUCCAUUUUCCUAGAACCAGCCAAAUAUGGAGUGUGUGCAAAAAACAUGGUAGCUUAAAAGAAGAAGAAGUAGAUAAUUAUCAAAGGGAAGGGGGAGGAAGGAAAGAGAAGGGAAAUAAAGAGAGAUGACACAAGGGAACUGGACCAGAUAAAGACAAAGCAAUGCACUUAACCCACCUGGAGAGCACAUCGGACCAGCAAGGCGCUCUCAGCCAAUCGCCUGGGUCUGCGGCGGGGAGGAGAGUCCGCAUGGGUUCAUUUGGCUGAGGAGUGUGUUUCAUAAACCUUACGGUGCAGCUAUGAAAGCUAUCAGGAUCUUCCCACGUUUCCUGUCAUUCCGUGGAGACUGGCUGCUGGAGUGCUGGGUUGGGGGGGGCGGUGGGGAGUGGAGGUGGUAGGGGAAGAGGAUGCUUGGGUUGUUGAGGGGAGACUGGCUCUAGUGGGAAGCGGAAUCACACAGGAAUUUAUUUUAAGUGCAUAAACAAAAUGAAAUGAGUGAAAAAAAAAAA